GCAACUUCAUGCUGAGGACCU
rnacentral:siRNA from 1 species